rnacentral:misc_RNA from 1 species
GCACGGGCCAUGCCUGCAUCCUGCCACAUACAUUCAGCAUCUUGAGGGGGAUGCUGAGCGGCAAAAUGUUGCAAUUGGUAGGGUGCAGGCAUGAACAACUGAGACUUGGUGGAGUGGAUUGUUCAGCUUGCAGUAUUUUCCGCAUCCACCCACCAGUCUCAGUUUCACAGAGCCUCCUGCAUUGCUCUGAGGAUGCUCAUAUUCCUUGGCAGUUCCAUUGCAUGGAUGAGCACUCAAAAGCUAUGAUGACUAUGACGGCGAUGAUGACGACAAAUUAAAUCAGCAAGAGUUCAGAGCCGGAAACUAAGAAGUUUGAUCUGUUUUAGCCUCAUCAAAGCUCCAAGCAGAAAUGGAACUCAGUUAGAGAUUUCAGAGUAAAUUUGUUGACAGGACAUGCAGCCUAAGGUAGCUUUGGUGCUAGACUGACGGUGAUAACAAAGAGCUCUGUUCUCCUAUGGCAAAAGCAAAUCUCCAGGAGAGACUCUGCAAAUUAUGUAUUUAAACGUAAAAGUGUUUCCCCUUUUCAUUUUGUUCAGACGAUAUUCAACUGAUUUGGUCUUUCGCCAACUUAUUUGUAGCUGAAGCGUUUUGUUCACAACUCUUUUCAUUUCUC